GAGCGGCGUACGGGUGCGGAACACGUGUGCACUAGCUUUAUCUGGGGGAUAGCCUUUCGAAAGGAAGAUUAAUACCCCAUAAUAUGUUGAAUGGCAUCAUUCGACAUUGAAAACUCCGGUGGAUAGAGAUGGGCACGCGCAAGAUUAGAUAGUUGGUGAGGUAACGGCUCACCAAGUCUACGAUCUUUAGGGGGGCCUGAGAGGGUGAUCCCCCACACUGGUACUGAGACACGGACCAGACUCCUACGGGAGGCAGCAGUGAGGAAUAUUGGACAAUGGGUGAGAGCCUGAUCCAGCCAUCCCGCGUGAAGGACGACUGCCCUAUGGGUUGUAAACUUCUUUUGUAUAGGGAUAAACCUACCCUCGUGAGGGUAGCAGAAGGUACUAUACGAAUAAGCACCGGCUAACUCCGUGCCAGCAGCCGCGGUAAUACGGAGGGUGCAAGCGUUAUCCGGAUUUAUUGGGUUUAAAGGGUCCGUAGGCGGAUCUGUAAGUCAGUGGUGAAAUCUCACAGUUAAUUGUGAAAUUGCAUUGAUACUGCAGGUCUUGGAGUGUGUGAAGUAAUGGAAUUAGUUAGUGGUAGCGGUGAAAUGUUAGAUU
rnacentral:rRNA from 1 species